rnacentral:rRNA from 1 species
CCCUAGUAACGGCGAGUGAAGAGGGAAGAGCCCAAGAUUGAAAGCUGGCGUCUUUGGCGUCCGCAUUGUAAUCUCAAGAAGCAUUUUCCGCUUCGGACCAAGCCUAAGUCCCUUGGAAAAGGGCAUCGUAGAGGGUGAGAAUCCCGUACAUGGCUUGGAGCGCCCGAGGCUUUGUGAUAUGCAUUCUAAGAGUCGAGUUGUUUGGGAAUGCAGCUCAAAAUGGGUGGUAAAUGCCAUCUAAGGCUAAAUAUUGGGGAGAGACCGAUAGCGAACAAGUACCGUGAGGGAAAGAUGAAAAGAACUUUGAAAAGAGAGUUAAACAGUACGUGAAAUUGCCAAAAGGGAAGGGUAGGAGGUCAGAGAUGCGGCGUGGAAUUCAGCCUUGCUUUUGCUUGGUCUACUUUCCUCAUUGCAGGCCAACGUCGGUUUUGGGCACUGGAGAAUGGUGGGAGGAAUGUGGCACCCCUCGGGGUGUGUUAUAGCCUCCUACUGGAUACAGCGACCGGGACCGAGGAACGCAGCGUACUCGAAAGAGCGGGCCUUCGGCACCUUUACGCUUAGGGCGUUGGCAUAAUGCCCU